AUGUAUGUGUGCCCAAGGUGCAAGCGCUUCAUUGGAGGAGAAGCCAGGAAGCUUAUCCGGCAUCUUAGAACCUUUCAUGCUUUAUCAGAUUCCCAAGACUUUCAAAUUGUAUGUUGCCAGAACAACUGCCAAAGAACAUAUCACAAUCUAAACUCCUAUAGAAAACACCUUAAGAAAGACUAUUCAAAAGUUAUAUCAAAUGAACAAAUUGAUUAUGUCCCAGGACACUUUGAAUGUUGUAAUAUGUUGAAUGAUGAUGAAAUUGAUAAUGAACCAAUUCCAGAAGAAGCCACAGUAGAUCUCAGAACAGCGGAUUCAGCAACUCUUAAUGAUUGCGCAUCUGCAUUUGUAGCCCAAAUGUAUUCCUCACCUAAUACAACUCUCACUGAUGUGCAGAGGAGUGUUACAUGUGCCAAAGAAGUCCUAGACCGAACUAUAGACAUUGUUGAAGAGAAAAUGCUCUCCUUUAUAGAUGCCCAUUCUUUACCUCAUGAUGACGAUGCUUUUAAAACUUUGAUGCAAGAAUUGGAAAAUGGGAGGAAAAUGUUUGAAGAUGUUGACACUCCCUAUAAAAUUACCAAAUACUUCUCUGAUAAAAAGUGUCUUGUGAAACCAACAGACAUAUUCUUAGGGCAUAGGGCAGAUACUGCCAGAAAAAAUGGACAAAUGACACAGGUGCUGAUGUCAGACACAUGUCAGUACAUUCCUAUUAUUGACACCAUCAGAUUUCUUUUUAGCAGCGAGAAAAUGCAGAGCCUUUACAUGGAGUCUAAUAAAAGUAUAGAUGGUAAAAUGCCAGACUAUAGCGAUGGUGCACAGUUUGCUACUCAUCCUCUGUACAGUAGAUAUCCAGAUGCAUUACAGAUACAACUUUAUUUUGACGAUGUAGAGACCACUAAUCCGUUAGGUUCUAAAACCAAAAUACACAAAAUGGGAGCUGUGUAUUUUUCCUUGAAGAACUUGCCUGCAGAGUACAACUCAUCUCUGGCAAACAUUCAUUUGUGUCUCCUUUUAACUCUAUAG
rnacentral:lncRNA from 1 species